AUGGGGCAUGGGCAUCAGGAGUAUGCAAGCAGAAAUGGAGGGAGGAAAAUGCGUAUUGAUUUUACAGCGGGGAAACUUAACUUUGAGAUGGAAAAGGAUGACAAGGUUGGGAAUGAUGUAUGCACAAAAGUAAUCCAGAAGGGUGUUCGACAACAACGCUACAGGCUAAAGAAGAAAUACUUCAAUGGUUAUACUGCUCAGGAAGCAUUAUCAAAUAAGCCAGCGAACAUUACUCAUGAGAAUUGGACCAGCCUUGUCAAUAAGUCCGAUGAGAGAAACAAGAAAAUAUGUCAAAUGAACAAGGAAAACCGAGAAGCUGUCAAGCAUCACCAAAAGACUGGAUCUAUGUCUUAUGUUGCCUAUUUCAGCAAACUUAAAAAAGACAAGUACAAUAAUCAGGACCCAAGUCCUAUUGAGUUUUUCAAAGACACCCAUACAAACAGCAAGACUGGUAGCAUGAGCGAGCCGGCACUUCUAGCUCAUAAUGCGAUGGAAAAAAAAGAGAAACACAAUCAGAAGGUGAGCAGCCAGUAUUCGAUACAGCGAUUGUGGCUGAAGUUCUAA
rnacentral:rRNA from 1 species